rnacentral:rRNA from 1 species
UACGUAGGGUGCAAGCGUUAAUCGGAAUUACUGGGCGUAAAGCGUGCGCAGGCGGUUCGGAAAGUAAGAUGUGAAAUCCCAGGGCUUAACCUUGGAACUGCAUUUUUAACUAGCGGGCUAGAGUGUGUCAGAGGGGGGUGGAAUUCCACGUGUAGCAGUGAAAUGCGUAGAUAUGUGGAGGAACACCGAUGGCGAAGGCAGCCCCCUGGGAUAACACUGACGCUCAUGCACGAAAGCGUGGGGAGCAAACAGG